AGUAGGAUAGCUGGGUCAAAUGGUGGUCCCAUUCCAAGUUUUUUGAGAAAUAUCCAUACUGUUUCCACAGUGGUUGUACCAAUUUGUAGUUCCAUCAGCAAU
rnacentral:pre_miRNA from 1 species